AUCCGACUGUCUAAUUAAAACAAAGCAUUUUGAUGGCUCCAACGGGUGUUGACACAAUGUGAUUUCUGCUCAGUGCUCUGAAUGUCAAAGUGAAGAAAUUCAAGUAAGCGGCAGGGGAAACUAUUACUUUCUUAACACUCGAGCUGAACGGAUGUGUUAGCGGAU
rnacentral:ncRNA from 1 species